rnacentral:rRNA from 1 species
CCUACGGGUGGCAGCAGUGAGGAAUAUUGGUCAAUGGGCGAGAGCCUGAACCAGCCAAGCCGCGUGAAGGAUGACGGCUCUCUGGUUUGUAAACUUCUUUUAUAUGGGAAUAAAGUGAGGAACGUGUUCCUUUUUGUAUGUACCAUAUGAAUAAGCAUAGGCUAACUCCGUGCCAGCAGCCGCGGUAAUACGGUGGAUGCGAGCGUGAUCCGGAUUUAUUGGGUUUAAAGGGUGCGUAUGGGGUUAAUUAAGUUAGCGGUGAAAGUUUGUGGCUCAACCCUAGAAUUGCCGUUGAAACUGGUUGACUUGAGUAUGUUUGAGGUAGGCGGAAUGCGGGGUGUAGCGGUGAAAUGCAUAGAUAUAACGAAGAACACCGAUUGCGAAGGCAGCUUACUAGACCAUAACUGACGCUGAGGCACGAAAGCGUGGGGAUCAAACAGGAUUAGAUACCCGUGUAGUC